AAAUCUUAAACCUUAAACUCUAAACGCGCAAAGCUUAAUGGAACUGAGCACAACUUUCAAGCUCAGUAGUUGAAUAUUGCAGCUAUUUGUGAAUGAAUUGUUCUCGUAAGGAGAUAUUUACCAUGUCGCUAAGAAAUGGACCCCAUAUAUGAUUUCUAAACUGAUUAAAUGAUGCUCCCAUUACGCUUUGCACGCUUAGAGUCC